rnacentral:lncRNA from 1 species
AAAUCAAAAUCCAACCCCAGCAUUAGCCAUGGUUCCUCUUGAGGAAAGCAGGGGUUCCUCUUCUGCCCCCCAUUGGC